UACGUAGGGCGCAAGCGUUGUCCGGAAUCAUUGGGCGUAAAGAGCUCGUAGGCGGUCUGUCACGUCGGCUGUGAAAUCCCGAGGCUCAACCUCGGGUCUGCAGUCGAUACGGGCAAACUAGAGUAUUGCAGGGGAGACUGGAAUUCCUGGUGUAGCGGUGAAAUGCGCAGAUAUCAGGAGGAACACCGGUGGCGAAGGCGAUCAUCUGGGGUUGUUCUGACACUGAGGAGCGAAAGCUAGGGGAGCAAACGGG
rnacentral:rRNA from 1 species